ensembl:lncRNA
CUUUAUUCAACCUAGGAUCGCCUGGUUGGUACUAAUGAGCUUUGCUGCUGUUCAGUCACCCAGUCGAGUCCGAUUCUUCGCAGCCCUGUGGACUGCAGCCUGCCAGGCCUCUCUGUCCCUCCCUAUCUCCCAGAGUUGGCCCAGGUUCAUGUCCAAUGAAUCAGCAAUGCUAGUGAGAUUUGGUGGCAGCAGCAGGACAAAGGGGAUUUCUGAUGGCUUUGGAGACAGCAGGAGACAGGUGUGGCGCCCCGUGAACCCUUUGGGCUCACUGUCUUUCUGGCCAUUUCCAAGGAUCCUGGUUCCAUGUCGGGAACAGCCGGUGACCACUGCAGUUUCCCAUUUGUCUGGAAGAAGCCUGCAAUUCUCAUUCUUUGGAGUCUGCGGGUUCAGUCCUUUCCUCAGUCCCUGGUUCCAUGUUGGGAACUGGUCAUGGUGUCCACAGGACCUUUUCUGGGCCAGGAUGCAGUAACAGCUCUUGAUCUUCACCGAUAUAUUAAGCUGUUUUUCAGGAACUUGGAGCCAGCUCUUGUCCUGUCCGAGUCAGCUGAGACUGAUUGGGACCACCGACCCUAAAGCCGGUCCUGCACAAGGGUCCAACAGAUGCCCUUUUGACAUCAGAGGGGCAAAAACUCCAGUCUCAGAGUGUGCUGUGUGAGCAGUCGUGUGCGACUCUUUGUGACUGUACCCCUUCAGGCUCCUCUCUCCAUGGGAUUCUCCAGGCAAGAAUACUGGAGUGCAUUGCCAUUUCCUCCUCCAGGGGAUUUUCCCAACCCAGGGGUCAAACCCUUCUCUCCUGUGUCUCCUGCAUUGCAGGCAAAUUCUUUACUGCUGGGCCAUCGAGGAAGCCCUUCAGAUUGCACUAAAGCACUUCCAUUUUUUAACAUGCAUCUCAUGAAGAAUUAUGUAUUAAUAAUUAGCAUCUCAUGUAUUAAUAAUUCAGAGACAUCUGUGCAGAAUGCCAGUUACUUCACCUUUU